GUACCUACGGGGGGCAGCAGUGGGGGAUAUUGCACAAUGGGGGAAACCCUGAUGCAGCGACGCCGCGUGAGUGAAGAAGUAUUUCGGUACGUAAAGCUCUAUCAGCAGGGAAGAAUAAUGACGGUACCUGACUAAGAAGCCCCGGCUAACUACGUGCCAGCAGCCGCGGUAAUACGUAGGGGGCAAGCGUUAUCCGGAUUUACUGGGUGUAAAGGGAGCGUAGACGGCUGUGCAAGUCUGAAGUGAAAUACCGGGGCUCAACUUCGGGACUGCAUUGGAAACUGUCAGACUGGAGUGUCGGAGAG
rnacentral:rRNA from 1 species